UACCAGCACCCCGAGUGGUCGGGACGUUUAUUGGGCCGAAAGCAUCCGUAGCCGGUUCUACAAGUCUUCCGUUAAAUCCAGCUGCUUAACAGAUGGGCUGCGGAAGAUACUAUGGAGCUAGGAGGCGGGAGAGGCAAGCGGUACUCGAUGGGUAGGGGUAAAAUCCGUUGAUCCAUUGAAGACCACCAGUGGCGAAGGCGGCUUGCCAGAACGCGCUCGACGGUGAGGGAUGAAAGCUGGGGGAGCAAACCGG
rnacentral:rRNA from 1 species